CCUACGGGAGGCAGCAGUAGGGAAUAUUGCUCAAUGGGGGAAACCCUGAAGCAGCAACGCCGCGUGGAGGAUGAAGGUUUUCGGAUUGUAAACUCCUUUUGUUAGAGAAGAUAAUGACGGUAUCUAACGAAUAAGCACCGGCUAACUCCGUGCCAGCAGCCGCGGUAAUACGGAGGGUGCAAGCGUUACUCGGAAUCACUGGGCGGAAAGAGCGCGUAGGCGGGAUAGCAAGUCAGAUGUGAAAUCCUAUGGCUUAACCAUAGAACUGAAUUUGAAACUGUUAUUCUAGAGUAUGGGAGAGGUAGGUGGAAUUCUUGGUGGAGGGGUAAAAUCCGUAGAGAUCAAGAGGAAUACUCAUUGCGAAGGCGACCUGCUAGAACAUAACUGACGCUGAUGCGCGAAUGCGUGGGGAGCAAACAGGAUUAGAUACCCGGGUAGUC
rnacentral:rRNA from 1 species